rnacentral:tRNA from 1 species
AGGAAUUUAGGUUAAAUCAGACCAAGAGCCUUCAAAGCUCUAAGUAAGUAAUUANUACUUAAUUCCUG